ensembl:lncRNA
ACACACACACACACAUCAUUAACAGUAAAGAUGUAUUUUUACCAACUUAGCAUAGCUCAAACAGAAAGAGGAAACCACAACCCAGAAAAGGAUAUUUGCAGCACACCUACCCACAAAUCAUUAAGGAUAAAGAAAUUCUACAGAUCAGUGGAAGACCGACAACCAAAUAGAAAACACGAGCAAAGGACUUGAAGACUUGAAGGUUACAGCAGCAAAGUCUGGAUCCUCUUCAGCUUCUGCUGCUGUUUGCCUGGGGAGAAUGGAGUAUUCUAAAGCUGCCACCUCCCCGAGCUGGACAAAUCAUGAAGCCAUGGGGUCCGGGAGGACACCCUACCAGGUGAAGAAUCUGAAGCUGAGGAGAUGAACCAGCUCCCCUAGAACCCAGCAAAGACCCCAGCAGAGCCAAUUACAAACAUGGGUCUCCCUCACCAUAUCAAGCUGCUUCUCAAUGACUAAGAACCUAUGUAUUUAUUUUUGAACAUUUUAAUCUUUAUUUUGAAGUCAGUUCAGACUUACUAAAGGUUACAGCAAUAGCAUCAAGUUCUCCCAUCCCUGCAUGCUAACAUCCUGUGUUAAAUCUAGGACGACGGUAGAAACCAAAGAGUUAACAUUUGUAUUCACAGAAGAAAUGUUCACAUAUUGAAGUAGGAGUUAGUCAUUCGGGCUUAUGUAUGAAGUGAAGUGAAGUGAAGUCGCUCAGUCGUAUCUGAUUCUUUGCGACCCCAUGGACUGUAGCCCACCAGGCCCCUCCAUCCAUGGAAUUUUCUAGGCAAGAGUACUGGAAUGGUUGCCAUUUUCUUCUCCACGGGAUCUUCCCAACCCAGGGGAUCAAACCCAGGUCUCCCGCAUUGUAGGCAGACGCUUUACUGUCUGAGCCACCAGGGAAUCCCUAGGCUUAUAUAUGAGUUGUGUUGAAUUUUAUGCUAAAACAGCCUGUUUGUGACCCAUCAGACAUACACUGUAUAUUUGCUUUAAUCACUAAAGAAAAGGGCAGACUGUCCAGAAGUUUAUAACAUCUGAAGAUAAGAGAUAAAUGCCUCCCUUCCUAGGAUGCCGAUGCUCAGACUCCUUGAUGAUAAGACUCCUCUCCCAGGGCCACCGGUGAACUGACUCUCUGUAUACUCGCUGAUCCAGUUUUUCUGAAACCCUGCAGGCAUGUAUCCCUGACUGGUUUGAUGUUCUUUGUUCUAAAAUGACAUAAAACAGCUGACAGCCAUGCUUCUUCCCAGAAGUUCCUCAGAGUCGUCUGAGUUAUUGUGUCUCUGGCUAUACUUCUCGGUUUGUCUCAAAUAAAGCCCUUUUCUAUCUCU